GUCGAGAAUCUUUCACAAUGGGGGCAACCCUGAUGGAGCGACGCCGCGUGGAGGAUAAGGUCUUCGGAUUGUAAACUCCUGUCAUGUGGGAGUAAAGCCGGGUGUUAAAUGCAUGCCGGUCUGAGAGUACCACAAGAGGAAGGGACGGCUAACUCUGUGCCAGCAGCCGCGGUAAUACAGAGGUCCCAAGCGUUGUUCGGAAUCACUGGGCGUAAAGGGUGCGUAGGCGGCGCGGAAAGUCAGGGGUGAAAUCCCGGAGCUCAACUCCGGAACUGCCUUUGAUACUCCCGCGCUUGAGAACUGGAGGGGAGACCGGAAUUCACGGUGGAGCAGUGAAAUGCGUGGAUAUCGUGAGGAACACUAGUGGCGAAGGCGGGUCUCUGGACAGUAUCUGACGCUGAGGCACGAAGGCCAGGGGAGCGAACGGGAUUAGAAACCCGGGUAGUCC
rnacentral:rRNA from 1 species